CUCCGGGAAACCGGGGCUAAUACCGGAUAACAUUUUGAACUGCAUGGUUCGAAAUUGAAAGGCGGCUUCGGCUGUCACUUAUGGAUGGACCCGCGUCGCAUUAGCUAGUUGGUGAGGUAACGGCUCACCAAGGCAACGAUGCGUAGCCGACCUGAGAGGGUGAUCGGCCACACUGGGACUGAGACACGGCCCAGACUCCUACGGGAGGCAGCAGUAGGGAAUCUUCCGCAAUGGACGAAAGUCUGACGGAGCAACGCCGCGUGAGUGAUGAAGGCUUUCGGGUCGUAAAACUCUGUUGUUAGGGAAGAACAAGUGCUAGUUGAAUAAGCUGGCACCUUGACGGUACCUAACCAGAAAGCCACGGCUAACUACGUGCCAGCAGCCGCGGUAAUACGUAGGUGGCAAGCGUUAUCCGGAAUUAUUGGGCGUAAAGCGCGCGCAGGUGGUUUCUUAAGUCUGAUGUGAAAGCCCACGGCUCAACCGUGGAGGGUCAUUGGAAACUGGGAGACUUGAGUGCAGAAGAGGAAAGUGGAAUUCC
rnacentral:rRNA from 2 species